UACAGAGGGGGCAAGCGUUGUUCGGAAUUACUGGGCGUAAAGGGCGCGUAGGCGGCCUUCUAAGUCGAACGUGAAAUCCCCGGGCUCAACCCGGGAACUGCGUCCGAUACUGGAAGGCUUGAAUCCGGGAGAGGGAUGUGGAAUUCCAGGUGUAGCGGUGAAAUGCGUAGAUAUCUGGAGGAACACCGGUGGCGAAGGCGACAUCCUGGACCGGUAUUGACGCUGAGGCGCGAAAGCAUGGGGAUCAAACAGG
rnacentral:rRNA from 1 species